UAAACAUCCGCCAUUUCUGCUGUCUCUAUUUGUUUGUGUGAAUUACACAAACGUCGGAACCGCCGGAUUUUGUCGAGGGUGGCCAUACGACCGACAUGGGGGGCGGGGGCGCUGCGGGGAACGCCACGUACCGUCGUGGAGGUUGAAGAGGAACCAACGCGGCUCUGACCGAGGGCCGUGUUUCUCAGCGUGAGAUAUUGGGUGUGUGCGUGUGAAAACAUGCAAACGCGUGAGUCACACGGCGGAGAGGCUGGCAAGGGAACAUCUGUAGCCUCUUCAGGGGACAGCAACCGAACAACCGGUAUGGAAAUACAGCGUCACAACAACACAGCUGUGUGCUGUGAGAAUCAACUCUAUCCAGUGGCAGAGCUCUCAUAUUGUGGAGAGAAGGCUUUCAACCCAGAAGAAGCCACUUGUUGCCCAUAUGAAAAUGGAAGCACCAUAACAGAGGGCCUUAGUGAAAAGGUGUCAGCUUGCUGUGGACUGAAGGCAUACGACCAGCUCAAUCAAAUAUGCUGUCACGGAACCAUCCUAGUCAAACCUGGGCCAAACGCCCAAUGUUGUGAUAAAAAGGCUUUUGAUGUCGACGAGCAGAUGUGUUGUGGACCGCUGACCAAUAAGACAAUCCUAACAAAAGAAUCCUCAGACCACCGAUGCUGUGGACAAAACAGUUUUAACCCAACGACUCAAUGCUGCUGUUCGAUAAAUGAAAGUCUAAGCAUAUGGUCCAAGGAUUCCAGCUGCUGCGAGAAGGCUGACUGUGGACAGAACACCUACAACACAAGCGACAAACUAUGCUGUCAAUCAACGGUUGUUAGCAAAAAUGUAUCAAAUGCCCAAUGCUGUGGUAAACAGGCGUUUAAUAACGACACACAAUUGUGUUGUGGUCCUUCUGAUGACAAGAUAAUCCUGGAGAGAAUCUCUAUUGACCACCUCUGUUGUGGACGUAACCGGUUCGACACCAACAAGGAGUGCUGCUGUUUGACAAAGGAAGGUCUUCAGAUACAACAGAUCAAUUCCAGCUGCCGUCGGGAUCAGGGUCAAUCUUCUGAUGCCACUGCUGUGUUUAACCCACACAUAGGUGUCUGCUGUGGACGCUGUGUGUCUGAUUGGAACCCUUCGACAGAUCAACUUCAUGGCCCGCCUGGACAACAUAGCUGCAGGACGAAAGUUUAUCGGCCUCACGCGGGGAUCAUUUGCGAUGGACCAAGGUGAUUAUGCGUGUUUGCACUUAAGCCGGAAAAUUCUGAUGAUCUUCAGUGAGAGGGUAUAAACUUUUCUGUACUUCUAUUUUAAUCCCCUUGUUAUUUUGCAGUGUCUGAUAUGUCAAGACAUGUGCGUCGUCAAAAGCUAAAAAAUGAGUGUUGGGAAACACAGACAGGAGUGGCACGGAAAAUUCUUCAGGAGUAGUUUCAUACUGUUGCAAAGACAGGCAAAUAGACUGGCCGGUUGCCUUUUUCUAAUUGUUCCUCGGAAACUUUAAAAAUAACCAAAGAAUGGAAUGUCUGUGUUUAGGCUAACAGCUGCAGUUUUGAAUGCCUGACCUUCCGUUUCCUCUUGGUAAUUGUACUCAUGUUUGCUGCUGAAUUUAUGUACUCACUUCAAUGCUUGUGUGCAGAAGUUAUCUUGACCACCAGCAUACUUAAUGCCUGAGAAGGAGCAUAUUUGAGCUCAACCUCUUUUGAAUGUAAAAGGCUUUGUCUUCAUAACAUUGUGAUGAUGAUUAUUAUAACAUCUUUAUCCCACUCAUCUGAUUUGAUAGUAACAUUAAGCUCCUGUCUCAGGACUCCUCACUUCUGUGGGUCAAAAGCCUACGACAUUAAAGACCCAGGAAUGAAGUGCUGCGCAGGAACAUUGCACAACCUCACUCAAGUACCAGAGGCGCAGUGCUGUGGCUCCAUCCUGCAAAACAAACCGAAUCCAUACUUCGAUCUUUGGGCAAUUUGAAUGAGACGGAUCUUUGUGGCAAACUGCAAGUCGGGAUUGUGGAAAGGGACGGCCUGAAUGGGAUCGUAUUCAACAGUGUGUUGAUAAUCCAUGGAAGGAAUGGCAGUGUGAUACCCAGGAGCGGGCUUCACACCCUGAGUACAGGAACCGAUGGCUGCAGCAACGCAAAACUGGUCCCUGGGAAGAGCUACUUCUUUGAUGACGUUAAAGUAAAUGUCUUCACAGAUCUCAACCACGACUCUAUUCUCCAGUCCAUCUAUUUCAUUAUUUCUAAGUGUCAUACGAAUAUAUAAGAUUAUAGACUUUAUGUUCAGGGUCGGACGAUUUACUAACUAAUCUAACAUGCAGCUAAUUUAUAGAUGUUGAGUUUUGGAUUAACACCAUUUGUUAAAAAACAACUGUGGAGUUAUCAAAAGCAAUAUUCCUUGUCUCUUAGCAGAGGACAGCCAUUAUCAAUUAUCAGGCUGGAGCUUGUUCACUAAGUCCACAUAUUAGUCUGUUAACUUAUGCACAUCAAUAAAACUACUCUCAAAUUGUGAAGUAGCAGAGCAUCAAAAGAAUUAUUAUAUACAAUGUCCAUGAAGUUCAUGACAGGAUGAUCUAAAUCUUUUGCAUAACUGGUGGUUGCAAUUACCAAUGUUUAGUAAUCACCGCAAGAUGGUGACACUCAUCACGGUGAACUAUUUGUUUUCAAGAUUAAUGUUUGUGUGAUUAAUGUGUCUGUGAUUUUAAUAAGCUAAUAAGCUAAACAGCUAUUAGAACAUGUGUUUUCAUUUUUGGAACAUUAUGCUCUAUUUUGGAUUUUUAAAUUUGCACAAAACUACAUUAAUAGUGAGUCACUCAUGAAAAUGUAUGUUUGAAUAUAAAUGACAGGAUUUGUCACAUUAUGUGUCACAUGUGCUAAACAAAGCUGAAAGACCAAUCACUUAAAUAUUAAGCUGUGGUGCAUUGAAUUUCUAUGGUGCGUUGAAGUUAUAUUUCUUAACAAUAUGUAUGUUACCCAUAGUUCCAUGUUCCUGUAGCUAGGAACAUGGCAUUAGUAUGAAGGUACUUUUCCAACUUUGAGCGUUUUGCCAUCGCCUUAGUGUGGCCUAAAGGAUUCUGGACACUGCUUUUGCAGUGUGUACUGACCGGUAGAGCUCAGGAGGCUUAUUCAUCUUUAACUCUGACUCAAAAUAUAGUUGUUUUAAUGUUCAUUCAUGUACUGUAUUUUUCAUUUUACAAAAACUAUUUUCUAUAUCUUUGUACGUUUAGUUUCUUGUUUUAAGCAGUGUCAACACAUAAUGCAUGUUUUAGUAUGUUCUAUAUCUAUGCAUGACACAGCCACAUGUAGGUGCUUUAUGUUAGAUUCAUUUUUGUCAUUAAAAGCAAUUGUUAGAAAA
ensembl:lncRNA